rnacentral:miRNA from 1 species
UUGGCAAGAUUUGUAAAUACUAG